rnacentral:rRNA from 1 species
UACGAAGGGGGCUAGCGUUGCUCGGAAUCACUGGGCGUAAAGGGUGCGUAGGCGGGUCUUUAAAUCAGGGGUGAAAUCCUGGAGCUCAACUCCAGAACUGCCUUUGAUACUGAGGAUCUUGAGUUCGGGAGAGGUGAGUGGAACUGCGAGUGUAGAGGUGAAAUUCGUAGAUAUUCGCAAGAACACCAGUGGCGAAGGCGGCUCACUGGCCCGAUACUGACACUGAGGCACGAAAGCGUGGGGAGCAAACAGG